rnacentral:rRNA from 1 species
CAGUCGCCGCGGGAAUACGUAGGUGGCAAGCGUUGUCCGGAAUUAUUGGGCGUAAAGGGCUCGCAGGCGGUUUCUUAAGUCUGAUGUGAAAGCCCCCGGCUCAACCGGGGAGGGCCAUUGGAAACUGGGAAACUUGAGUCCAGAAGAGGAGAGUGGAAUUCCACGUGUAGCGGUGAAAUGCGUAGAGAUGUGGAGGAACACCAGUGGCGAAGGCGACUCUCUGGUCUGUAACUGACGCUGAGGAGCGAAAGCGUGGGGAGCGAACAGGAUUAGAUACCCCAGUAGUCCCUGUCUCUUAUAA